AGUGAACGCUGGCGGUAGGCCUAACACAUGCAAGUCGAACGGCAGCACAGUAAGAGCUUGCUCUUACGGGUGGCGAGUGGCGGACGGGUGAGGAAUACAUCGGAAUCUACUUUUUCGUGGGGGAUAACGUAGGGAAACUUACGCUAAUACCGCAUACGACCUACGGGUGAAAGCAGGGGAUCUUCGGACCUUGCGCGAUUGAAUGAGCCGAUGUCGGAUUAGCUAGUUGGCGGGGUAAAGGCCCACCAAGGCGACGAUCCGUAGCUGGUCUGAGAGGAUGAUCAGCCACACUGGAACUGACACGGUCCAGACUCCUACGGGAGGCAGCAGUGGGGAAUAUUGGACAAUGGGCGCAAGCCUGAUCCAGCCAUACCGCGUGGGUGAAGAAGGCCUUCGGGUUGUAAAGCCCUUUUGUUGGGAAAGAAAAGCAGCAGGUUAAUACCCCGCUGUUCUGACGGUACCCAAAGAAUAAGCACCGGCUAACUUCGU
rnacentral:rRNA from 1 species